rnacentral:rRNA from 1 species
CUAGCUGUAAACGAUGGAUACUAGGCGUUGAGAGUAUCGACCCUCUCAGUGCCGUAGCUAACGCGUUAAGUAUCCCGCCUGGGGAGUACGCGCGCAAGCGUGAAACUCAAAGGAAUUGACGGGGGCCCGCACAAGCGGUGGAGUAUGUGGUUUAAUUCGAUGCAACGCGAAGAACCUUACCAGGGCUUGACAUGUCCGGAACCCUGCCCAAAGGCGGGGGUGCCUACGGGAACCGGAACACAGGUGGUGC